GCGUGAAACCGUUUAGAGGUAAACGGGUGGGCCCUCGAAGGUGAUCGUCGGAGGGAUUCAGUCGGACGUGACCGUAAGCGUCGCUCGUCUCUAACGGUGCGGACCUCGGUCGGCCGGGCGGGCGAAGGCUGCGGGCCGUUUGGCGCAUUUCCUUCCGUUCGAACUACGCUGCGACCAGUCUGGUCACUGAAAGUUGUCGGCCUUGAAGACGGACGACGGAAGGUGGCCGGCGGCGACUCUCGCGGUUACCGCCGGUGUUUAUAGCCAGUUCGUUUCACGAGUGAGCGUUCACCAGACUGGGGACGAUUUUUAGCCCUGUGCGGGCUACGCCGAGCACUCCCUCGUUGGAGCGUUGCGGGGUGACUGGAUGUGUCCGCGGUUUUUGGGAGCCUCACCUUAGCGUGGACUACCGCCGCGGAUCUCCGUAAGCUCAUUCCGUACUCGCCGUUGCUCAGGUGGUCAGCAGCGAGUAGGUCGGUAACCCACCCGACCCGUCUUGAAACACGGACCAAGGAGUCUAACAUGUGCGCGAGUCAUUGGGUCUUGAUUAGGCCCAAAGGCGUAAUGAAAGUGAAGGGCGGUUCGGCCGUCUGCCUUGGGAUCCCGUGGACCUCGCGUUCGCGGGCGCACCAAGGGCCCGUCCCGGUCGCCUCGUCGACGGGGCGGAGCAAGAGCGUACACGUUGGGACCCGAAAGAUGGUGAACUAUGCCUGGGCAGGACGAAGCCAGAGGAAACUCUGGUGGAGGUCCGCAGCGAUUCUGACGUGCAAAUCGAUCGUCAGACCUGGGUAUAGGGGCGAAAGACUAAUCGAACCAUC
rnacentral:rRNA from 1 species